CACGCCCUAAACGAUGUCAACUAGGUGUUGGAAGGGUAAAACCUUUUAGUACCGGAGCUAACGCGUGAAGUUGACCGCCUGGGGAGUACGGCCGCAAGGUUAAAACUCAAAGGAAUUGACGGGGACCCGCACAAGCGGUGGAUGAUGUGGAUUAAUUCGAUGCAACGCGAAAAACCUUACCUACCCUUGACAUGUCCAGAAGCCUGAAGAGAUUUGGGUGUGCCCGAAAGGGAACUGGAACACAGGUGC
rnacentral:rRNA from 1 species